GUCGCCAAGAAAGCUUGGAUACUUUGCUCUGAUGCAGGCUGAUCGGAAAUGAAAAUGCACGUUCUGAGGCUCACUUUCACCCCCCCCCCCCAGGAAAAGUCCCUUUUUCCUAAAUUUAUACAAACAAACCAGCGAAGAAUAACAAAUUGAUAAACGGAACGUACGUUUUAGGCUUUAUCCUUGGUCCUUGUUUAACAAAAUCGAUUUAAAGGACUGUGUCACCGCGUGCGCAUCCUACGUGUUUCUAACACUAAGUAAUGAUAAAUUAUUGUUAAUAUUUUUAAAAUUCUUUGUGUGUUUUUUCCUUUUUUUAUUUCAAAUAGAAGUAUAGUUAGGAUAAAUUCUAGAAAAUUUAGAUGCUCAGACGGCAGCACAUGGGAUUUUUGGGCUUGAAAUUUCAAAAAUUUUCUGGGGAGUUAAUGCCCCCAGACCCCCUAUUCAUUCGCGGUAUGUCGGCCACACACGUGACCCACGGCCAUUGCUAUCCCCUUUAAUAAUAAGUAAUGGAUAAAUUAUUGUUAAAGGUGAUCGAUAUACAGUCCGUAUGUAAACAAAGUCUUUGUUUACAUUUUUGUGUCCAAAAUAUUGAGCUUUAUUCGACAACUAUUUAUAUUUUCAAGCUUCUAGAGUAUAAUAAAUUAUCUAGAAAUUUUCAAGCUUCUAGAGUAUAAUAAAAGUGUCAUAAAAAGUGGGCUCAUUUGUGCACAUGCGCAGAUCGGACUGUAGAUCACCUUUAAUAUUUCUUUUAUUUUUUCUGCAUUUUUUCCUUCUUUUAUUUCAAAUACAAGUAUAAUUAGCAUAAAUUUUAGAGCAAAUUUAGACGCUCAUAAAGCAGAAAAUGGUAUUUGAAAGGUUCAAAUUUAAAACAUUUUCUGGGGGAGUAUGUCGGCCACACACCGUGGCCGUCGGCCAUUGCUAUCCCCCUCUAAUAUAUUAUCUAAAAUCCCUUUUCAAAAAAUACCCCCCACGGGAAAAUCCUUAAAAAAGGCCCUGUUGUCCUGUAUUUCGGUCUCGGAACUGUCGUAUGUCGUCACGGUAUAAGUUAACUGUGUAGUUCGUAUAUUUGCCUAGCCACAUGUUGUGAUUGAGGCUAUGUGAGGAUUGUAAGUUUAUCACCUAGUACUAUUUUAAGUAGAUGCAGUUCGUGAGUUAGGUUUUGUGCAUGCUCGCAGGGUUUUGAAAGCAAACGAUGCCGUGAAAUAUGUGAAGCCUAUGGUUUGUGUCAUGUAUCUAACUAUCUAGGUAGAAUACCUAAAAGUAGAUGUUGUACAAACUACAAAGUUGUGGUUUAUA